rnacentral:rRNA from 1 species
AACGUAGGUCACAAGCGUUGUCCGGAAUUACUGGGUGUAAAGGGAGCGCAGGCGGGAAGACAAGUUGGAAGUGAAAUCCAUGGGCUCAACCCAUGAACUGCUUUCAAAACUGUUUUUCUUGAGUAGUGCAGAGGUAGGCGGAAUUCCCGGUGUAGCGGUGGAAUGCGUAGAUAUCGGGAGGAACACCAGUGGCGAAGGCGGCCUACUGGGAACCAACUGACGCUGAGGCUCGAAAGUGUGGGUAGCAAACAGG